AGUGAACGCUGGCGGUAGGCCUAACACAUGCAAGUCGAACGGCAGCACAGUAAGAGCUUGCUCUUACGGGUGGCGAGUGGCGGACGGGUGAGGAAUACAUCGGAAUCUACUUUUUCGUGGGGGAUAACGUAGGGAAACUUACGCUAAUACCGCAUACGACCUACGGGUGAAAGCAGGGGCUCUUCGGACCUUGCGCGAUUGAAUGAGCCGAUGUCGGAUUAGCUAGUUGGCGGGGUAAAGGCCCACCAAGGCGACGAUCCGUAGCUGGUCUGAGAGGAUGAUAAGCCACACUGGAACUGAGACACGGUCCAGACUCCUACGGGAGGCAGCAGUGGGGAAUAUUGGACAAUGGGCGCAAGCCUGAUCCAGCCAUACCGCGUGGGUGAAGAAGGCCUUCGGGUUGUAAAGCCCUUUUGUUGGGAAAGAAAAGCAGCAGGUUAAUACCCCGCUGUUCUGACGGUACCCAAAGAAUAAGCACCGGCUAACUUCGUG
rnacentral:rRNA from 1 species